rnacentral:misc_RNA from 1 species
CACAAUAACAUAUGAAGGCUGUACGCGGCUGUGCCCUCGGGCCAGUUUGGCGGAGGCUGGAGUAUUUAUUACCCUUGUCUUUUGCGCACUUGUUGUUUCCUGGGCGGGUCCGCCCGCCACCAGGACCACAUGAUAAACCUUUUUUUAUGCAGUUGCAAUCAGCGUGAGUACAACAAAUGUAAAAUCAUUUA